rnacentral:rRNA from 1 species
AAAUAAAUUAUUAAGAGCACUUGAUGGAUGCCUUGGCGUUAAGAGGCGAUGAAGGACGUGGCAGGCUGCGAUAAGCUGUGGGGAAUUGUCAACAAAUUUUGAUCCGCAGAUUUCCGAAUGGGGAAACCCAACUAGUUUAGCUAGUUAUUACGUACUAAGUAUGUAAAGCAAACUUGGUGAACUGAAAUAUCUAAGUAGCCAAAGGAAAAGAAAUCAACCGAGAUUCUGUUAGUAGUGACGAGCGAAAGCGGAAAAGGCUAGUGAUUUAAGAAUAAGAAUUAGAAUACUCUGGAAAUAGUAACCAUAGAAGGUGAUAGUCCUGUAUAAGUAGAAAGUUUUUAAAUCCUUGAGUAGAGCGGGGCACGUGAAAUCCUGUUUGAAUAUGGGGGGACCAUCCUCCAAGCCUAAAUACUCCUUAACGACCGAUAGUGAACAAGUACCGUGAGGGAAAGGUGAAAAGAACCCCGGGAGGGGAGUGAAAUAGAAUCUGAAAUCAAGUGCUUACAAACAGUUGGAGCUCUAUAUCAAUUUAUUGAUAUUUAGAGUGACAGCGUACCUUUUGCAUAAUGGGUCAGCGAGUUAAUCUAUGAAGCAAGCUUAAGCCGUUAGGUGUAGGCGUAGCGAAAGCAAGUCUGAAUAGGGCAUUUUAGUUUUAUGGAUUAGACCCGAAACCAAGUGAUCUAGUCAUGACCAGAUUGAAGGUGUGGUAAAACACACUGGAGGAUCGAACCAGUUAAUGUUGCAACAUUAUUGGAUGAGUUGUGAUUAGGGGUGAAAGGCCAAUCAAACUUGGAAAUAGCUGGUUCUCCGCGAAAUCUAUUUAGGUAGAGCGUUGUAUGUAUGUUGUUGGGGGUAGAGCACUGGAUAGACUAGGGGGAUUCACCGUCUUACCAAAUCUAACUAAACUCCGAAUACCAACAAUUAAUUAUACAGCAGGCACACUACGGGUGCUAAGUCCGUGGUGAAGAGGGAAACAACCCAGAUCACUAUCUAAGGUCCCAAAAUUACAGCUAAGUGGGGAAGGAAGUAGAAAAACCAUUACAGCUAGGAGGUUGGCUUGGAAGCAGCCAUCCUUUAAAGAAAGCGUAACAGCUCACUUGUCUAAAUAAGUUUUUCUGCGCCGAAAAUGUACCGGGGCUAAAGCUGUAUACCGAAGAUGUGAGUGCUUAUUGAUUUCGAUCAAUAGGCGCGGUAGCGGAGCGUUCCGUAAGUCUGUGAAGGUGGUUUGUGAAAACUGCUGGAGAUAUCGGAAGUGAGAAUGCUGACAUAAGUAGCGUAAAAGAGUGUGAAAAACACUCUCACCAAAAAUCUAAGGGUUCCUAUGUUAAGUUAAUCUGCGUAGGGUUAGUCGGUUCCUAAGGCGAGUCCGUAAAGGAGUAGUCGAUGGCAAUUAGGUUAAUAUUCCUAAACCUCUUAAGUGUGACGGGUUUCGUAUUUGUAUAGAUCUUAUUGGAUUGAUCUAUGCUUAAAAGAAGCUCCAGGAAAUAGCACUUAUAUUUAUGAGGCCGUACCGCAAACCGACACU